ensembl:lncRNA
AUUUUCUGUUUUGCCAAAUUGUGAAGCCAGGACUGCAGAGAAAGGGGGUGGAGGGAUGUUGGAUUAUAACAAAUUUGGCUUAUAAUAGACUUCUAACCAAAGAGCUUGAAGUAUAAUGUUCGCCCCAAAUGAUUGACUUACUUGGAAAUGAAUCCAUGCGAAGAGAAUGCCCCUAUCAGUUUUACUUAUCACAUUCAUUAUGCAUCCACGGAUUUAUCUCAAUUAAGCCCCUUUUCAGUGAAAUCUGAAGGAUUAAUGUUCUAUUCAUAGAUCCAACUAAAAAAAAAAGCACUUUCCCCCUCCCAGUCCUUUUCUGAAGUCCUAUAUAAUGAUUCUGGUAAAAAAAAACCCCAGCCCUGAGCAAUGAACUUGCUGGCACAGGAUCCCAAGCACUGAUUGGACAAGGGAAUUGCAGAGAGGCAAUUUAAAUGGGUGCUUGCAUGGCAGUCCAGAAUCCCUUUGGUUGGGAGGGAGUGGGGAGGGAAUCUGGUGACAUGAAGGAGCCAAUCCCAUGCCACGGCCUGCUAUAUAAAGCUUUUAGUACUAGAUCGUUCCUCAGUCUGGGCAAGUUGUCAGAAGCCACCAGGCUGUUCCUACUUGACCCAAAGGUCCAUGCCUGACAGCGUCUAAAUUCUGAAAAGAAGUAUUUUUUAAAAAAUUGUAUUUAUGUAUAUAAAUGUUUCAAGGCAGCCAACAACAUUUUUUUUUUAAAUGCAGAAAUGCAGCAAAAGCAGAUGAUCAAAUAGGGGAGUAGGAAAGAAGCAGAAGAGGAAAUAUUCACCACAGUGGCUCAGAGGUGCAAUAGCUGGGAUUUUUUAAAUUAAAAAACAACAACAUGUUGCUUUCAUCACCAGAAGGUCAAAAGCAGAGGAGCUGGAAAUUGGUCCCACAGCCUCAGUGCCAUUGUGAGGAAGGCCCUCUCAUGGAUAAUUCACAUACCACCCCAUACCUCAACUGCAAGGAAUGUUUCACACCCCACAACUCCUCCUUGCCUUCCGUGCUACCAGCCGCAAUGGGCACAAGCCACCAUUUGUCCAACCUGAAAGGGAAACCAAGAUUGGUUCAGAAUGUGGGCCAGCGUAAAGAGCGAAGAGCCUUCCUACACCUGAAUCCAGAGUGGUAAAGUAAGCACUUUCUUCCCUUCAUUAUCAUUCUCUCCCCAUCUUACUCUAAGUGCUAAACUAUCAGCCCAAAGAACAGCAUUUGCAGUUAUUAACAGCAAGCCGUCAAUCUCUUUUGCCACUGCAGCUGGCGCUAACCUCAAUCCGUCUCUUUUGCACUCCCGCUGUCUUGCAUCCUCACCUCCUGAGCGAUCAGCAUGGGGUGCUAAUUUAAAGAGACAUGAGGCAGAUUGACAUUGGCUAACACCAAAACAAAAAACAGGAGGAGGGAACAACUCUACGGACAGUCAUUUUUCUUCCUCAUUUUAAGAUAUUUUAUAAAUGUACGAAUCAGUUUUUCUAUACAUUAAACAAGCAAAAACAAUUGCAGCACCAAAAGCACUUUUUAAAAAAACCCUAUAACAAUAGUUAACUGUUUAGAGAGCAUUCAUUUUGAUUGGUUUGUGGGGAGGUUAUGUGAUGUUGCAUAACCCUGAAGAGCUACUGUCAGGAGGUAAAUGCUAAGCCAAAGGUCUGAUUUCAUACAACAGGGAUGGGGAACCUAAAUCUCUCCAGACAGGGUUCGCCGGCCCACCCAUAAUAAUAAUAAUAAUAUAAUAAUAAUAAUAAUAAUAAUAAAUAAUUUAUCUAUACCCCGCCCUCCCCGGCCAGAGCCGGGCUCAGGGCGGCUAACACCAAUAAAAUUACAAUAAAAAAGUAAUAGGGGAGGGGAAAAAUAAAUAACUUAAAAUACAGGUUAAAAAUACAAUUUAAAAUGCAGCCUCAUUUUAAUAAUAGCCCAUAGAUCAAAACCAUAAGGGGAGGGAAACCUAAGGGUCAGGCUGAGUCCAAACCAAAGGCCAGGUGGAACAGCUCUGUCUUGCAGGCCUUGCAGAAAGAUGUCAAGUCCCGCAGGGCCCUAGCCUCUUGUGACAGAGCGUUCCACCAAGUCAGGGCCAGUACUGAAAAGGCCCUGGCCCUCGUUGAGACCAACCUUGUGACUUGGGACCUCCAAAAUAUUGUCAUUUGUGGACCUUAAGGUCCUCCGCGGGGCAUACCAGGAGAGGCGGUCCCGUAGGUACGUGGGUCCUAGGCCGCAGAGGGCUUCAAAGGUCAAAACCAGCACCUUAAGCCUGACCCUGUACUCCACCGGGAGUCAGUGCAGUUGGUAAAGCACUGGAUCAAUGUGAUCCCAUGGCAAGGACCCCGUGAGGAGCCUCGCCGCAGCAUUCUGCACCCGCUGGAGUUUCUGGGUCAGCUUCAAGGGCAGCCCCGUGUAGAGCGAGUUACAAUAAUCAAACCUGGAGGUGACCAUUGCAUGGAUCACUGUGGCCAGAUCAGGGUGAGAAAGGUACUGAAGCAGCCACCUUGGGUGGUGGAAUCCUGUGGGGUGGACACCCUGCCCGCCCCUACUGCUGCUAGAGUU